rnacentral:rRNA from 1 species
UACGUAGGCAGCGAGCGUUGUUCGGAGUUACUGGGCGUAAAGGGUGUGUAGGCGGUUGUUUAAGUUUGGUGUGAAAUCUCCCGGCUCAACUGGGAGGGUGCGCCGAAUACUGAAUGACUUGGAGUGCGGGAGAGGAAAGUGGAAUUCCUGGUGUAGCGGUGAAAUGCGUAGAUAUCAGGAGGAACACCGGUGGUGUAGACGGCUUUCUGGACCGACACUGACGCUGAGACACGAAAGCGUGGGUAGCAAACAGG